rnacentral:rRNA from 1 species
CUGUUUCUGCAUUUCGGCUGCACGUAGCUGAUCUUGUCUGAUAUCAAAAGCUAAGAAGGUUGAACGUGGUUAGUACUGGGAUGGGAGACCACCUGGAAAUACCAAGUGGGUCAGC